AGAGUUUGAUCAUGGCUCAGGAUGAACGCUAGCUACAGGCUUAACACAUGCAAGUCGAGGGGCAGCAUGAUUGAAGCUUGCUUCAAUCGAUGGCGACCGGCGCACGGGUGAGUAACACGUAUCCAACCUGCCGAUAACUCGGGGAUAGCCUUUCGAAAGAAAGAUUAAUACCCGAUAGUAUAGUAUUUCCGCAUGGUUUCACUAUUAAAGAAUUUCGGUUAUCGAUGGGGAUGCGUUCCAUUAGAUAGUUGGCGGGGUAACGGCCCACCAAGUCAACGAUGGAUAGGGGUUCUGAGAGGAAGGUCCCCCACAUUGGAACUGAGACACGGUCCAAACUCCUACGGGAGGCAGCAGUGAGGAAUAUUGGUCAAUGGACGAGAGUCUGAACCAGCCAAGUAGCGUGAAGGAUGACUGCCCUAUGGGUUGUAAACUUCUUUUAUACGGGAAUAAAGUGGAGUAUGCAUACUCC
rnacentral:rRNA from 1 species